rnacentral:rRNA from 1 species
CCUACGGGAGGCAGCAGUGAGGGAUAUUGGUCAAUGGCCGAAAGGCUGAACCAGCCAAGUCGCGUGAAGGAAGAAGGAUCUAUGGAUUGUAAACUUCUUUUAGCAGGGAAUAAAGGUAUCCACGUGUGGGUAUUUGCAUGUACCCUAUGAAUAAGCAUCGGCUAACUCCGUGCCAGCAGCCGCGGUAAUACGGAGGAUGCGAGCGUUAUGCGGAUUUAUUGGGGUUAAAGGGUGCGUAGGUUGUUUUUGAAGUCAGCGGUUAAAGUUUGUGGCUCAACCAUAAAAUUGCCUUUGAAACUGGAACGCUUGAGGGUGUUUGAGGUAGGCGGAAUGCGUGGUGUAGCGGUGAAAUGCAUAGAUAUCACGCAGAACUCCGAUUGCGAAGGCAGCUUACUAAGCCAUAACUGACACUGAAGCACGAAAGCGUGGGGAUCAAACAGGAUUAGAUACCCGGGUAGUC